rnacentral:tRNA from 7 species
UGCUCGCUAGCACAAUUGGCAGUUGCACUCCGCUCUGGACGGAGAGGUUCCAGGUUCGAAUCCUGGGCGGGCAGC